rnacentral:rRNA from 1 species
ACGUAGGUGGCAAGCGUUGUCCGGAUUUAUUGGGCGUAAAGGGAACGCAGGCGGUCUUUUAAGUCUGAUGUGAAAGCCUUCGGCUUAACCGAAGUAGUGCAUUGGAAACUGGAAGACUUGAGUGCAGAAGAGGAGAGUGGAACUCCAUGUGUAGCGGUGAAAUGCGUAGAUAUAUGGAAGAACACCAGUGGCGAAAGCGGCUCUCUGGUCUGUAACUGACGCUGAGGUUCGAAAGCGUGGGUAGCAAACAG